UAAAAAUAUAUUUUUUACUUUUUUACUUUUACUUUUAUUAGGUGAAAAUAAAGUGAACAAACUAUGACUUAGUUUUGAGUGUUGUAAUUGCUUCAUGUCAUUUAUUUCGAUUUUUUGUGGUUGUUCUUCUUUUGUUCUUUUUAUUUGCUUACUUCACUUUAUACCACUAAUUACAAAAAACUCUUAAUUGAUAAUUCAAGCCAUCUUGUAACUUGGAUUAAAAAGUAAAAAUUUACACUCAAUUUUUUCUAAUCCAACAGUUGGAUUGAGUUCAAAAUUUUUAAGGAGCAAGAUAAUAUUCUUAACUUCUAUUAUACAAAAAAU
rnacentral:lncRNA from 1 species